GGUUAGUACAAAAGUAAUUGUGGUUUUUGCCAUUACUUUUAAUAUCAAAACCCGCAAUUACUUUUGCACCAACC
rnacentral:miRNA from 1 species